ensembl:lncRNA
CUUUCCUUCAGCUCUACCCUUGUCAAAGUUCUGGCUGCCACUCAAGGUCCCUGACUGACUGUUAGACUUUGCGUUUCCCUAUCUUUGGGUGUAUAUGGAGAAAAAAUGGUGGAAUGACCUUCUAAAGGCCGCAGAAGGAGUUGAAACUGAGAUGAGAUCAAGGAGCUCCUGACUACCCUGCCCCCAGGGAAAACAUCAGAUUGUUCUGCAUCUCUCUUCUGCAACUAUUGCACUGACAAAGGCCUUUUGCCACACUCACAUAAGCGUGUCUACAAGAUGGAUUUUUAUGACUGCAGUGGAAUUUGGGAGAUGGCCGGGACACUUUGGUUUCCAGCAAUCCCAUAUCAUACUUCCCUCAUGUGCUUCUCUCUCUCCUGCCUCUAUGCAUUUUUCAAUAAACCGGCAAAAUUACCCAUGAGCAAGGCUGUAAGGGACAGCACAGAGCCAGUGAAAUCAUACGCCUCCUGUGCUUGUAUAGUUAGCAGCAAGUGUAUAUAACACAGCCCUGCCCUUCCUCUUCUAAUGAAAGUGGCUCGCCACCAGGCAACUGUUCUCUUGAGGAACAUGCAAACGAAUAGCCAAGAGUGAGUGGCGGAAAAGAUACACGUAUAUGAAUUCCUUAAAGCAAGGCACGUCUUGGAGCUACUUUCAUGUUCUUUCCUGAUGCUGGCGAGGGUGGGGCAGAAGUCUGGGAAGAAAUCAGUUGGCCUGGGAAGGCAUGGGCCCUACUUAAGAAAACAAAAAUUCCUGGAGGUAUGCCUUGUUCAGCCAUUGCAAGUGUCCUCAGAGGCCAAGCACUACUAUCACGUUCAUUUGAUGGCUCUUAAACUACAUUAAACUGUCCAAAGGCACCCAACCAAACGUCACAGUAAAACAAAAAUCAAUUGAUCGCAUGCCCGGGCAACACUUACCAUGGGC